rnacentral:siRNA from 1 species
ACAAACCUCCAUCAUUUCGUCUG